CUCCCUGAUUCAUUGGGAGGGAAACCGCUAUGGAUCGCGUCGCGCAAAGCCGCAUCCCGCCUGGCCUUGAACUCCUCCAGGGCUGGGGCAUCCAUGACUUCUCUGGGCAACCUGUGCUAGUGCUUCAGCUCCCUGGAGGGUUUGAAACACUGUAUAGAAAGGUUCAGUUUAGAUCUGGCGAGUGGGAAUCUUCCCUGGGGAAGGCAAAAUAGCAAUAUUAAAUUACUGAGCUGUCAGACCAUCGAAGACUUCUAUGACGAUGUUGACAAAGAGGAUAACGGUAAUGAAGAUUUGUUCUGAUGUCCGUGUCAUCUAAGUAAUGAAUGCUGUAACAUCUCCUUACACCAGCAUCUCAAUCUUUUGUUGGCAAGUGAACACACACGGUCAGGAAAAAACAGCUGCUUAUUUGGGCGUGUUUGACAUCAAUCGCUGGUAUGAUGCUGAAAUGCCGGAUUCAAUAAGGCCAGAAAAAUUCCUUCUUGAUUGCCCUUAUUUUGCCUUGUGGACACUGGAGAAGGUAACAAGCACGGUUUCUCCAGAACCCAUUUUGGAUGUUCUGGUCCACGAGAGGAGUCUAACCUGGGGAGCGCCUCCUUCUUACCUACCACCCGACCAGAUUCUAAAUGCGAGCGGCUAUAAUUUUGGAGGAGCCGUUAGAGGCAAUAUUGUCUGCGGCUGUCCAGACAGGAUCUUUACAACUCCUGACUGGAUGCAUUAAACAUUGGACAUCUGAAAAGCAGCCGAAUUCUGCAGCAAAUUUACAGUUUAUCCGUGACUGUGCUUGGAAGAAAGUGGUCUACACCAAAGAUGAAUUUGACCACAUAUGUGAGUACUAGUGUAGUCAUUCUGCAAAUGCAAAAUCAUUCUUUCUGUCUGAGCUUAUUCAGUAACCUGUUGGUAUGUGAUAUUGCUCACGUGUACCUUGAAACUCUGAAAUUGCUCUGUUGGGUGAUGAUUUAAUAUCUCUUCUUGAAAAGGUGUUCCACUGUUUGAUGGCUCGUGCUGCUUCCUUGAUCCACAAAUGGUACAGUCUCUUCAGCCCUGCCAGUAUCUCUUGAGCAACCUUAGCAGAGUCUUAAACUGUUUUCAAAGAGAACCGCAAGAGCUUACUGACAAAGAAUUGUCUGAUAGUAUUACUAAGACUUUGGUAUGUUUUAGUAAGAUUAGGAAUCAUGCUUGGGUUAUAAUUGUGGAAACAUAAGCUUUGGUUGAUAAGUAUGUUCAAAUAUUGUAUUUGCAAUGCUGAAAAUAGGAAGGCAGUGUAAACGAGUGACUUGUAAGUUACUUAGGUUUCUAUAGCUUUCUCAAUUAUUAGUUUUUCUUGAUGGAUUGAGGGAAUGUUCUACAGGAAAAAUCUCUAAUACAGGAAAACCAGAUGUCUGGAUCAUGAAUGUAUUUAGUAGCUUUGAUUUUUUUAUUUUAACCUUAGCAAAUCUGUUCUUUGAAGGGGUUGCUUUCUGUUUUGCUGGUGAUCGUGUUUUUUUUCUUCACAUUGGAGAGUGAUACGGAGUGAAAAAAGUAAAGGUAGAGAAUUCUACCAUGUUAUUUUUAUACUUUGCAUUUAGUGUGAUGAAGGGAGUUUUUUAAAAAUGAAAGGAAUUGCAUAACAAAAAUAAUCUUAUGCCUUUUUUAGGUUUUGCAGACUUGAGAAAUAAGCAGGUGUUAGCUAGCGACUUCUCUGUGUAUGCAGAAAUGGUCAUCUUGUUCUGUCAAUCUGGUCUUCUUACAGAGAGUGGAACACAUUCUUGGCCAUGCUUUUGUAGAUGUUUUGUCAAUGACAAGUCAUGCUGCUUCAGUGACACACACGUGUGCUGAAGUUCUCUUGGUGAGACUGAGAUUUUACCAGCUUUUCAAGUGCACAGCGUAGAACGAUGUAAGUAGUUUCUUGCCUGGAUAUUUCUUAAAAACGUCAGUAAGGAGUAGGUUAUGUCCACAGCUUGAAAUAGCUGGGAUUUUAAACAAAUAACUACUAAACAACAAAGACUGGACACUUGUUUGUUACACUCACAGCAUGACCUGCAUGUUUGGAACCUUUUAUUUAUUGCUUGAGGAAAAAGCACACCUUGGAAUCACUUGUUUAUUUGGAUGGAUUAUAAAUUCUAUUGUCAGUCGCAACUGCCUCACAAAUGUUCACAUGACACAGUUAUAAAAACAUUCCUCUUGACAAUUGUUUUUUUUUGAUAGUGAGCUUCAGCUUACGCUUCAUGUUUUGAAUGCUACCAUGAGUGUAAACUUAAGACGGUACUUGACACAAGGCAAGUUGAGUCUUGCGUCUCGCAUCUCUCCUGGCAACGGCAGAAACAGGACUGGCUUCUUUCAGAGUUGGAGUCUUGUCUGUGCUUCUUGAUGCUUAGCUUGUAUGAUCUCUUAUCUUUCUUAGUCAACGUUUUUAGUUUAAAUGUGAUAUUACUUCUUUAACUUGCUUUUACUUUGUUGCAUGUAGAUGGGAUGAUGCAAUUGUUUACCUCUUUCUACAAUUAUCCUCUGGUUUGACCCGCUAUACUGGCCAGUGACAGAAACUGGAGCAUUUGUCAAGACGAAAAUGGUAUUCUGACUACGUGAUGAUUGAGGGCAUAGUUUCGCACUUAAGAGACCAAGUUGCAAAGUUGUGGCAGAGAGAUGAAGGAGGGACUGGGAAAUAUCCCCCUCCCAGAUUACAUGCACUGCUGGAUCUCUAUUUACUAGAAAACAUUGAAGAAAUCUACAAACAUGCGAUUCUAUCCUUCCUGGUUACUUUUAUUACGCCUUCAGGAUAUGCACACAAAUGUUCUUAUGUGUUUGUCACCUACAUGCUUAAGGACAUAUGUUAAUUGAAACUUCAAACACAAAGCUAGUGAAAACAUUUAGUUUAGAAUUAAGUCGUAGACAGUAGCAUUGUUUUAUUUUUUUGUACUGUGGAAGUUUGGUUUUUUUAGUGUUUUGUUGCCAGGUCUUUUCUCCUAUGAGAGGAUGGGUUUACUAAGAAAUGUGAAAGGCAAAAAGCCCCAUCAGUUUUUUUCUAAAAAUUUACACACAGCUUUUAAUUUUUAGGGCACCCGUACCUGUAGCAAAUGGCUUCUUACUAGAAUGAUGCACUGAAACCUGCUGCUUCCAAGCAGAAGGGUUUCUAACAGUGACUUAGAGUAGAUGAGUUUUGCUGAAAUCGUCUCUUUUCCAGCACAGCCAGCAGUGCUGGCUUUUGUUCUGUUGAAAGUGCAGGCACACAGAAUAAUAAAAAGAGAGAAGAGGGAAGUCGUUGGGCAGACCCUUAAUUUUUAAGCUUCUGAAUUAGCCAGAAUUGCUCUUCUGGUUUGUUACCUGACCCAGGAGGGGAGCCUAGAGAGCGAGGGCUUUGAAAACAAUGGUAGCCCAGAGCUGCCUUCGAACAAGUCCCUAAAAACAGGGGGUCAGAAAGUGGCACUCCCAGUGGUGGAUCUGCAUGCUGGUUUAGAUCCAGUUUUAAUCAUUCAGAGCAAAGUUGUAUUGUGAGGACCCCAUCAAUUACACUGUUUUACAUCCUCUGGAAAUGAGGAAGAAAACCGAGCAUAGAAUUUUUUGCUUUAGUAAUUCAUCACUGGCUGUUCUGAAUGUUUGGCUGGUAGCUCCACUGACUGUAGAGGGAGCCUGAGUUUAUAACAGAAGUAUUUAAAUAUCUAGAGCUAAGCUUUUUGCGUGCCUUAGAGAAAUCGAAGUAUCUUUCUUUCUGGUUACUUCCUCAGAAUAGAGUUUUGUGCUUAGGACCGGGCGGUCUCCAGGUUAAAAUAGCUUAAAAUGGCAAGACAAAGAUGUUAGUAUUUUCUGAUUCCUUCCUUCUAUAUUCUUAUUUCAUUAUUUUUUCUAAAUGCAAUGGGAUAUUUUGUUGGUCUUGCAGAUUUGUUAGCCUUAAUUGGAUAUUUGAUAUCAGGCCAUUUGCUUAGUGCUGGACAUCUUCAAUUGCUGGUCAAAUCAAACUCAAAUUAUAGUCUAGUCCUUCGCCGCUGCUUUUGCUCUCCCUCAGGGCCUUGUAAAGCUUAAUCAAGGAUUUUGGCUUCUUGAUCACUAUGAUUAUGAAUUAAGUAUGUUACUGUUCCGUUGGAUGCACAUUACCGUGCAAGGCUGUCCUCUAUAAAAUGAUUUUCAGAAAUUGCUGCUUAGCUAGUAACAGGUACUAAAACACAAUAGGCUUUUUUUCGUAGUCCUGCAGGGGCAUCUUCAGCAAUUAGUUGUGAUUUAAGAUUGUGUUUCAAUUCCUUGCACAGGUAAUUGAUAAAAACAAAGUAGAAAUCAACUUGAAUAAUGCCCGACAGUUCAAUUUUCAGAGCCAUCCAUUUAGAUUGUUUUCAGCAGACCAGUUGAGCACUUCUCAAAGCCAGUGUUUUUGGUACUUUCAAUAUUAAAACUAGGAUCAUAGCUGCAAGAUUUGAUCUGGAAGACUCCAAAAGUGACUUUUCAACCUAAUUCAUGUUGUUUCUGAUGCUGAAGGUGGUACUUUGCCUGUCACGAUGUCAAUAGAAUCCAGUUGUCUGGGAGAAUAACUCCACAGGAGAGCACAGGAGGAAUUUGGCAGGCUGGUUAUAUUCAGAGGUGCAUUUUGGUACCCAGCAGACUCACUAGAAACCAUUUCAUUAACUGAAAACACUCAUGCAUUGAUACUGUGAAAGCAUUAUGGAAAAUCUAUGAAUACAUCCGUUCAAAGUCCAAUGGUGAAUA